rnacentral:lncRNA from 1 species
AAUUAGGAUAAUAAGAUUAUUUGUGGAUAUAUGAGUAUUUUUCCAGAAUUUUUCAUCAAUAGGUUGUAUUUUAAAAUAUAUUUUGUUAAAACUACUAUUUUUCGAAAGUUUUCAUUUUUUUUAGAGAAAUACUGUGGAUUUGGGUUUGUGAUUUUGAAAUUAGGAUAACAAGAUUAUUUGUGGGUAGAUGAGUAUUCUUUAAGAAUUUUUCAUCAACAUUUUGUAUUUUUAAAUAAUUUUCUUAAAAGCUGCUAUUUUUGGAAAGUUUUCAUUUUUUAGAGAAAUAUUGUGGAUUUAGGUUUGUGAUUUAGAAAUUAGGAUAACAAGAUUAUUUGUGGAUAGAUGAGUAUUUUUCCAGAAUUUUUAAUCAAUAGGUUGUAUUUUAAAAUAUAUUUUUUAAAAACUGCUAUUUUGGGAAAGUUUUUAUUUUUUUUAGAGAAAUACUGUGGAUUUAGGUAUGUGAUUUUGAAAUUAGGAUAGAAAGAUUAUUUGUGGAUAGAUGAGUAUUCUUUAAGAAUUUUUCAUCAAUAUGUUGUAUUUUUAAAUAAUUUUCUUAAAACCUGCUAUUUUUGGAAAGUUUUCAUUUUCUAGAGAAAUACUGUGGAUUUAGGUUUGUGAUUUGAAAAUUAGGAUAACAAGAAUGUUUUUGGAUAGAUGAGUAUUCUUUCAUAAUUUUUCAUCAAUAUGUUGUAUUUAUAAAUAAUUUUCUUAAAAGCUGCUAUUUUUGGAAAGUUUUCAUUUAAUAGA